GGUGUAGCUCAGUGGUGGAGUGCAUGCUAUGCAUGUAUGAUGUCUUGUGUUCAAUCCCCAGGUUACCG